GCCCUCGUAGAUCAACGGUAGAUCAUCCUCACUUCAUAUAUGUCGACAUCGUUUGGUUUGGAGGAAGGUGCGGGUUCGAUUCCCGCCGAGGGCU